AAUAAUUUUAUUCUGGUUAAAGAUAGUUUUUAAUAGGAGAAUUCUCAUAGAUAUUAUAGUAUUACUUAGUAUAAAGAUAACUUUAGUUCUAGAGAAGAACACUUAGACAAUUAGGUAUUAAAUCUGGCUCCUAUUAACAGAGAGGUAAAGGCUCAGUGCCAGCAACCGCGGUUAAACUGACUACUCAUUCUUCUUUAAGGUUAAAAUUCGUAGUUAAAGUUUUAUUAUAAGAGUGUGUAUAAAAGCUCUUUACUUUUUAUAUAAACAAAAACUUUAAAGCAAUAAAUUCUUUAUUUAAACGGGGAUUAGAGACCCUCUUAUUCAAGAUUUUAUUUUUUUUAUCCUCAGUUUAAACUGAAAGGAAUUGGCAGUUAGUUAUAUUCUUUUAGGGGAGUGUGUAAUUUAAAAGAUGAUCCACUUAAAAUCUUACCCGCCAAAGGUUAGUUAGUGUAUAUCCGGGUAAAUGUUGUUGAUUCUAGUCAACAACGUAAAUUUAAAAUUUAAUUCAGGUCUAUGUGCUGCUUAUGGGUGGGUUAUUAUUCUCUACAAUAGAAAAGAGCUUAUUGAAAACAAUGAGUUAAUUUGGGACUUAACAGUAAUCUUAAUAAGUCAGAUAAGGUGAAAAUAAAAACUAGUUUUAUGAUUUGACUAGUGUACACAUCGCCCGUCACCUUCGACUUAAGUCGAAGUAAGUCGUAACAUGGUAGCCCCAGGGGAACCUGGGGCUAUUUUAUAA
rnacentral:ncRNA from 1 species